AGGCGCCACAGCGGCCGGCGUGCGCCGCCGACGCUCCGGUGCCCCGCCGCGCGGCGCCCUGCGGGUGCGCCGCGGCCGCGCAGCCCCUGCGGCCACCGCGAAACGCCACCUCGGGCCGCCCCCUGCACCGGCCAAGGGCCGGCCGCCGAUGGCGAGGGUGCGUGCGCCGGCAAAGCCGUCGCUGAUGCCGCCUUUGAUGCGGCCAUGGAGGAUUCGCCGUUGGUGUGGGCGCCUCCGGCGAUGGUAGCCAAGAUGGUGGGAUUCCUCGUCGACGGCGAGGAGCAGAUGGCGAUGCAUCCAUUUCCGGCGACCACCAAACGCCUUGUAGCCAUGUUCGAUUUUGCUCCAACCAUGGUGGCCAUGGCGUCCCAUAGUCUCGAGUCCUCAUGGCCUCCUCUCCUCCUUUUCUUCUUAUCCAACGGCAAGAACAACGACAAGAACAAUACAUUAAGAUGAACCUGUCAUUUGCUGUGAUGCAGAAA